UUCAAGUCUUUGUCUCUUUUAAAAUAAAACAAAAAGUUUUCAUCGUUGCUACCGCUCCUCCGUGCCGGAGGCGACAUAGUUGUCCAAACAAACAAAUUUCACCCCCAUUCCACUCCUUUCAAUACAAUAUCCCUAAAACCCUCAUUAAUUUCGUCCAAAACCUAAUUAAAUUCCCCAAUUGAAUCAUAAAUGGUAAGAACCCUAACUAAGAGAAAAUCAAAAUUAAAUUGGGAAGAAGCGUCAAUCUGAACUCAAACCUUAGGGGUUUGGUUCAUAUUGAACAAGGCUAGUAUUGAAGGUUGUUGGAAUGAAGAAGAUGAAAAUGAAACUAGAAUCCCAAAGGAUUCUCUUUAGAGAUGACAUCAUCAUGCCAUGAAGAAAUAUGGCAUAUCAUGGAUUACUUGGCCAUGAAGAAAGCUUGCGUAUGAAGCAAUUUGAGAAGAUGGAAGAGAGAAAAUUAAAGUGAAGUUGAAGUGGAAUUAGGUUUAGAGUCAAAUUCAGGGUUAAGUUAACUUUGGUCAACUGUUUGACCAAAAAGUCAAUAGUUGACUAGUCAACUGUAGGUCAAACUUAGGUUUUUUUGUGUAGUUUUAAUUUAGACUCUCUGUGUAAUAUGAUUUGAUGUUUAUGUAAUGUAAAUGGCUUCUUUUUUUAAA